CCCAGCCCCCACCCUCGGCUGCUGCCCGAGCUUCCUCCACACGCCGUGCAGUCUCCACGGCGACGCGGCGUCCCAGACUCGGAGCCCAGAGCCCCGCGCGAGCAGCUAGCCGGGCUGGCUCUCGGUGUCUGCCCUUCGGAUGGUCGGCUGGAGAGAGCCGCCAGCUGGACUUCUGUAGACAAGACAGAUACUGUAAAGAAAAAGUGACGAGUGAAUCAAAUGAAGCAAUGUCAGAGUAAGAAAAUGUCUUUGAUUGUGCAGCUGAUUUCUCCCAUGCCUUUUAAGCAAUUAGAACUAGAUAAUG
rnacentral:lncRNA from 1 species